GGCGGCAUUCAAGUUGUAGUAAUUUAUAAUAUUGUAAUAUAAUUAUUAUUGCAGAUAUACCGCAGAUAAUUGAAGAAAUGCCUUAUAAAAUCAUUAUAAAAGCUAAGUAGUUGGUGUUACUGUCGUGUUUCAUAUAAUUCAUAGUAUACAGAAACUUGAAAUGCCCACUUCAAAGUAUGGUAGUCGACACUACUUCUCAAUUGAGAGUUUGCUUGCUUCGGAGGAAACACUUUCCUGUACAUUCUUCAAAGAAGAAAAUUACGUUGGAUUUCUAGAACCUGGGAACACGACUGAUAGAGUAAAUGCCAACACAACAUUAGAAUUACCAUAUUGGGUUGCCAGUGCUUUUGUAUCCUAUCCUCGACUCGUCGGUAUUGAUUUGCCAAAAGCGUACAAGAAAGCUUAUAGAGAUAUUCUACAGGCGGAUGCCACAGCCGUCGAUUUGAAAUCACUGUGUAGAUAUUAUUAUAUUUUGGGCGAAUAUCUGAUCAAAACAAAGCACCGAGAGUCAGACGAAAUUAAGCGGAUUCUUAUUCAAACCUUUCGUAAGCGAUUCAGAAUGGUAAUGGAUUGGGCCUUGAAUGCAGCUUCCGAACAGACGGUGAAAAAAUUGGACAGAUCUGAAAUGUGUAUCUAUGAAAGCGGUAAAAAAACACAGGAAAUUCUUGAUGGAUGGUUAAAGGAAGGAACAAGUGCAAUUGCUGCUACUGCAAUGAUCACUAGUCACAAGAAAAGGAAAGUUGAGAACACGGAAAUAAUAUAAGUAAAAUAUCGCGGAAUUCUUUGUUUAAUUUAUUGAAAUGUUUUUUAAAAACCUAUUUUAGCUGAAAUUUUGUAUAAGUUGUCAUCGGGUAAAGGUAAAUUUACUGGAACCGCGAACUGUCUCGUCGUUCCUGAAUUUGAAAUAUUGGAAGAUAGGCAAACCAUGUUACAGUUUUGUUUGCAUACUUGUAUAUCAUUAUUUUUUGAGGUUCUAUUCAUAGACGUCGACGUUGAGAACUAUUUUUAUGAAAUUGGUGUUUGUAGGUACUUAAUUGUAUUCUCGAAUAGGUAUAGCAAUUUUGUGAAUGGGAAAACUACAAAUAAACUAUAGAAUAAAAUUAAGCUAGGUGUCAACUUGAAAAUGAUAAAAUUAAAUUUGUAUUUCGCCGGCUUAUUGUUCUAGAAAUGUUAGUCUACGCUUAUAUGAUGUUCAUACUUUAUUUCAAGUACCUAUUUAAAUCAAUAAUAUGUUUUAUUGUAUAACUUUUAAAUGUGAAUUUUUUAAUGGAAUAAUAUUAAACUGAAUUAUAUAAGUGUUCAUUUUCAAUUUUUUUUUUAAAAUUUUGUAUGUAUUUUCAUAUGUAUACGUUUGAUUUUACUUUAAAAAGAAGUAAGCCAAAGUUAGAGCAUGUGAGUUUUUCUUUCUUUUAAUGUAGGUAGUUUUAGUAUAGGAGUAUAGGUACUCGCUGCUGGUUUCAACGAGAAAUCAAACACAAACGUAUUUAGAUUAUCUAAUACCAACAAGUUUCUUUCUGCUUUUUUACGGAUCUCAGUGCUGUUUAAUAUUGAUAGAUGUUCUGUGCCGUGUGCGAUAUUUGAUUAUCAAAUUUACGAAUAGUUGCAUACCUGUUGUGAAUUAAAAAGUCAAGUUAACGGACAUGAAUUUUUUUACUAACCAAGGACGAUGCAGAGUGUGUGGGAAAAUGUUAUGUUGUUCUACUCAUCAAAAAGAACACGAGCGACUUGAACAUAAAGAAUAUGCUUAUUUGCUCGAUAAAUUACCAAUUAUGUGCAAGAAAUGCUGCCGAAAUAUACAUUCCAUCCAUGAUUUACACGCCAGAUGUCAACCAUUUAUGGAUCAUCGUUUCAUGAAUGACAACUUUAGCAACGCUGUCGAGCUUUUAAACAAGCCAAGCCGAAAAAGGGCCUUCAACGAAGCGAAAAAGUCGUACGAUGGUUCUGUACACAUGAAUUCCUUAGAAAACGUACGUAAAAAGUUAGUUCCUGUGUAUAAAUUUAAACAUACUGAAAAUUUAAGAAAACUAACGUCGGAUGCUAAAAGCGAUCAGAAAACAUUGGUUAUAGAGGUGAAUCGUAUACUCGUCGAAUCAAAGCAAUCAGUAUUUUCGCCUCAAUUGAAUGUAUCGUAUAGAAUGUUACUGAGUAGUAUUAUUAAAAGCAGCACGCCUUUGAAUGAAGAAGAGAAACAAACUAUACCGCUCGCCCAAGACGAAACAUCUAGAAAUAUCGAAAAUCUGUGUACUCCGAGUUCAGAAUUUAGCACGUAUGAAAGUCCUGAGACAUUUUCCUCUCCUGUAAUUGUAAUUUCUGCUAAAAAACAUACGCCUCCUGGAAUAAUAUCGAGUUUUUCGAAACGAAUAUCCAAAAAAGUUCUGAAGAAUCGCAGAGUUACUUUUGAAUUAGCCAAAACGACUGAUUCGGAGGGAAAUAUUACGAUCUAUGGUACUCCAACGGCCACGAUGGAAGUGAUAGAAGAAAUUGAUGAACGAGGAGAAUUGGAUUUGACGAUUCCUAAUAGUCCGCCUAGAUGUUUAUUAGUCAAAUUUAUUAAACGAAUGAAGAAUGCGAUACACAGUAUACCUCGAACUAUUACUACCGCAUGGGAUUGGGGCAAUAAAAAAUUCAAAGUGUCGCAGUCAAACGAUGAAGAAUAUGAUUUUGAGAUACGCAGUCCUGUGAAAAAACGUCCGAAAUAUGAUACCACUGAUUCAUUGGUAAGAAAGCCAAUUACAUCUUACUGGGUGAACAUGUCUGUGAAUUCUUUGUUUCGUAAACCAUUGCCCAAUUAUGUUCACAGGUUUUCUAAUAUCGAAGAAAACUAUCAUUUAUGAUUGCAUCUUCGAAAAAUGACAAUAAUUCCAUUGAUGUUUAUGGAAUUGGAUCGUUGUAAAUUUGAUUAGUUUUUAUCAGCGCGUCUGUCUAAGCGAAUUAUAGGCGACGAAUAGAAUUUUUAAAAACAUUUUUUACUUGAGCAAUAGGUACCUACUUGAUGUAAUAAGAUUUUUUAAAAUUAAAUUUUGAUUUGUUUUUGUCAUAUUUGAUUAAUAAAUAAUUUUUUUAGCGUUUAA